UAACCAUUCUAACGAAGUAAAGGUGAUGUAACCAUUCUAAUGUAGUAAAGUGAUGUAACCAUUUUAAUGAAGUAAAGUGAUGUAACCAUUCUAACGAAGUAAAGGUGAUGUAACCAUUCUAAUGUAGUAAAGGUGAUGUAACCAUUCUAACGAAGUAAAGGUGAUGUAACCAUUCUAAUGAAGUAAAGGUGAUGUAACCAUUCUAACGAAGUAAAGGUGAUGUAACCAUUCUAACGAAGUAAAGGUGAUGUAACCAUUCUAACGAAGUAAAGGUGAUGUAACCAUUCUAAUGUAGUAAAGGUGAUGUAACCAUUCUAACGAAGUAAAGGUGAUGUAACCAUUCUAAUGUAGUAAAGGUGAUGUAACCAUUCUAACGAAGUAAAGUGAUGUAACCAUUCUAACGAAGU